UUAGAAAGAACUGAAUUGACCAGAGUUAAACGACUGCCUCUAGAAAGGAGUUUAGCCUGCCAACCGUCGAUCCUCCUCUGAAAUUUAUCUAUGACACCUAUCCAAUCUUCUUUUUUAAGCUUUCUAAACGUCAACGGUAGACCCAAAUAUUUCAAGGGCAAACUGCCAAUUUAACACUGCAAGAUACCAGAGAGUCUAUCAUCUUUUCCACCCUUACUCCCUAUAUAAAACAAUUCAGAUUCCUCUUUAUUAAUCCUAUUCCCGGACGCCCACUCAAAUAGAUUCCACAUAAAUUUGAGAUUUCGGAUAUAUCUUUUUUUCGCGGCACAGAAGAAUAAGGUAUCGUCGGCAUAUUGUAUCAGAGUUACCGAGUUAUCGCGUGUUGGU
rnacentral:lncRNA from 1 species